rnacentral:rRNA from 1 species
GACGAACGCUGGCGGCGUGCCUAAUACAUGCAAGUCGAGCGAGCUUGCCUAGAUGAUUUUAGUGCUUGCACUAAAUGAAACUAGAUACAAGCGAGCGGCGGACGGGUGAGUAACACGUGGGUAACCUGCCCAAGAGACUGGGAUAACACCUGGAAACAGAUGCUAAUACCGGAUAACAACACUAGACGCAUGUCUAGAGUUUGAAAGAUGGUUCUGUUAUCACUCUUGGAUGGACCUGCGGUGCAUUAGCUAGUUGGUAAGGUAACGGCUUACCAAGGCAAUGAUGCAUAGCCGAGUUGAGAGACUGAUCGGCCACAUUGGGACUGAGACACGGCCCAAACUCCUACGGGAGGCAGCAGUAGGGAAUUUUCGGCAAUGGGGAAACCCUGACCGAGCAACGCCGCGUGAAGGAAGAAGG